rnacentral:rRNA from 1 species
CACAGGUGCUGCAUGGCUGUCGUCAGCUCGUGUCGUGAGAUGUUGGGUUAAGUCCCGCAACGAGCGCAACCCUUGCCAUUAGUUGCUACGAAAGGGCACUCUAAUGGGACUGCCGGUGACAAACCGGAGGAAGGUGGGGAUGACGUCAAGUCCUCAUGGCCCUUAUAGGUGGGGCUACACACGUCAUACAAUGGCUGGUACAGAGGGUUGCCAACCCGCGAGGGGGAGCUAAUCCCAUAAAGCCAGUCGUAGUCCGGAUCGCAGUCUGCAACUCGACUGCGUGAAGUCGGAAUCGCUAGUAAUCGCGGAUCAGAAUGUCGCGGUGAAUACGUUCCCGGGUCUU